UGCCAGCCGCCGCGGUAAUACAGAGGGUGCGAGCGUUAAUCGGAAUCACUGGGCGUAAAGGGCUUGUAGGUGGAUUGAUAAGUUAGAUGUGAAAGGCCUGGGCUCAACCUAGGGACUGCAUUUAAGACUGUUAAUCUAGAGUAUGGUAGAGGUAAGUGGAAUUUCCGGUGUAGCGGUGAAAUGCGUAGAUAUCGGAAGGAACACCAGUGGCGAAGGCGGCUUACUGGACCAAUACUGACACUGAAGAGCGAAAGCGUGGGUAGCGAACAGGAUUAGAUA
rnacentral:rRNA from 1 species